rnacentral:rRNA from 1 species
GAACGGUAAGGGCACUGCUUGCAGUGCUACACGAGUGGCGAACGGGUGAGUAACGCGUACACGACCUACCUUUAAGACUGGGAUAGCCCUGGGAAACUGGGAUUAAUACCGGAUGUGAUAUUAGUAUUAAUAUUGAUAUUAAAGUUGAGGCGCUUAAAGAUGGGUGUGCGUACUAUUAGCUAGUUGGUGGGGUAAAGGCUCACCAAGGCGACGAUAGUUAGGGGGCGUGAGAGCGUGACCCCCCACACGGGUACUGAGACACGGACCCGACUCCUACGGGAGGCAGCAGUAAGGAAUAUUGGACAAUGGGGGCAACCCUGGUCCAGCCAUCCCGCGUGUAGGAAGACUGCCCUAUGGGUUGUAAACUACUUUUAACAGGGAAGAACAGGUGACAUUUAUGUUGCUAUGACGGUACCUGAAGAAUAAGCACCGGCUAACUCCGUGCCAGCAGCCGCGGUAAUACGGAGGGUGCAAGCGUUAUCCGGAAUUACUGGGUUUAAAGGGUGCGUAGGCGGAACUAUAAGUCAGAGGUGAAAUCACACAGCUUAACUGUGUAACUGCCUUUGAUACUGUAGAUCUUGAAUUAGGUUGAGGUUAGCGGAAUGUGACAUGUAGCGGUGAAAUGCAUAGAUAUGUCAUAGAACACCAAUUGCGAAGGCAGCUGGCUAGGCCUA